UUAAACAAAGGCCGAACCAAUUGCUAAGGAAAAACUAAAGGGAACAGUCACGGACAAGGGAAAGAAAAAGCUAACCACCGCAGGAAAGGGAAAAGAAAAUUCAUGUCCAGUGGUUCAAGUUCUUCAAGAAAGAAAUACUGGUGUUGUGAUCCGCAAUGAAAAGGACAUUAUGCGCUUGCAUGAGGAUAAACGAAAGGCUGAAGCAAUGG